UGAACGCUAGCGGCAGGCCUAACACAUGCAAGUCGAACGGUAACAUAGAGAAGCUUGCUUUUCUGAUGACGAGUGGCGCACGGGUGCGUAACGCGUAUAGAACCUACCCUUUACAGGGGGAUAGCCCGGAGAAAUUCGGAUUAAUACCCCAUAGUACUACGAAGAGGCAUCUUUUUGUGGUUAAAGUAUUACGGUAAAGGAUGGCUAUGCGUCCUAUUAGUUCGUAGGUGAGGUAACGGCUCACCUAGACUUCGAUAGGUAGGGGCCCUGAGAGGGGGAUCCCCCACACUGGUACUGAGACACGGACCAGACUCCUACGGGAGGCAGCAGUGAGGAAUAUUGGACAAUGGUCGGGAGACUGAUCCAGCCAUGCCGCGUGCAGGAAGACUGCCCUAUGGGUUGUAAACUGCUUUUUUACGGGAAGAAUAAUACCCACGUGUGGGUAGAUGACGGUACCGUACGAAUAAGGACCGGCUAACUCC
rnacentral:rRNA from 1 species